rnacentral:lncRNA from 1 species
GUGCAUGACGCUGGUUGUCUCAACCACGCAUGUCCGAUGGGACAUCAUAGUUGACACCGGGCACCCGGCUGGCUGGCACAGCCAGCUGGUCGGAGUAGCCGGUCGUAGCUGGGAAUCGGAGCAGCCGGCCCAGGCGGACAGGCACCUCGUUCGUCUCGCUGUCUUAUGGGUAACCGGGGGUCAUCCCCCCGGCAAUCCCCUUGAGAUUGCCGAUCAUCCUCCUAGUCAGCCUGCUCGCCGUUAACGACCUUGGGUUUGAUGACCUUCAGCCACAGGCCAAAGUGGUGUUGGACCCUCAAUAAGGCCUUGCAAACUGUGAUGAAAUAAGAAAGAUGGGUCAUGGAGUUCGGGGGGAGAUCGUCGAAGUUAAGCCCAUAGUAAAAUGUGAUCCCUCGAACAAAUGGGUGAAGGGGAAAACUUAAGCCUCUAAUGAAAUGAGGAACAAAAACUACUCUUUCCCCAUCUUUAGGAGUGGGGAUAAUCUGGUCAUUCUCAGGUGCAUGGUGGGCUAUGUUUUCUCGAAGAUAGGUGCAACUCUUCAGCUCCAAAAUAUCCUUUUCAGAGACGGAGGAGACCUCCCACUUGCCCUUGGAACCGCGCAGGCCAUUGCCGGACUGGUGAGGGGAUUCGAGAGCUCGGGAGGAGAAGGAGAGCUAGGGUGUUGGAGCUUUGUGAUGGUGAGCGAGAUCUGAGGUACGUGAAGAGGCUAAGGUGACGUUUUUUACCUUUUAUAACUCACAAGAAUGUCGAAGGUCUCGCGGCUGUAUCAUAAACUCCGCCACUUACCAAGAAAAUUGUGAUUAUAGGUGUGUGGGAUAAACCCAAACCACAAACUGUAUCCCUUGAAAGGGGGGCACAAUCUCCAUGAUGGGACGCGUCAAUAAAACGAUCUCGAGCCGCUCGUUCAAAUAAACGGGCCCUAGCCAACUACGGCCUUUCGAAUUAGGAAAGAUGCCGCUCGUUGUUAAACGGUAGGCCUAGGGAUAAAAAAUUAUAUAGAUUUUUUCUAUGUGUGUAAAGGAGAAGGAGUCAUCGAGACCCGAACUAUCUUCGGUUAAAGGAAAAAAGAGGAACUCGCCUCACAAGCCAGACCAUCCGUGACGUCAUCAAUGGAGGAGGAUUUCGGUGUUGGAGGCUAGUUCGGGGGCUACUGAGGGAGUCCGAGAUUAGGGGGUCCUUGGGCCUCCUACCUAUCCUUAUGGGUCGGACUCUGUGUCAUGUUCGACCGUUGGUGGUAGUGUUGGAUUCAAGAUGGACUCUUCUGAAGGCUUGGUGUGUAAUCCAAGGAGAUGUAGUAAUUAGCAUAUUCCUUCUCUGUUUUAACCAACUUUGUGUAAACCCUAACACCCCUGGCAUCUAUAUAAGCCAGGGGGUCAUAGCUCAUAGGACACAUCAAGCUCAUUAUGAUUAGGAUUUAGACCACAAAAUUGAUCUCGGAGUAGAUCAACUCUGUACCCUAUACUACAUCAUGAAUAACAACAAGAGCAGGACCUAGGGUUUUACCUCCAACAACAGGG